rnacentral:tRNA from 1 species
GCCCGACUGGCUCAGCGGUAGAGCGCCUCACUAGUACCACAACUAGAAUAUGAGGAGGCGACUGGUUCGACUCCAGUGUUGGGCA